CAGAGUUCUCGGGGCGGGGUGCAAGUCCCCACCGGCGGUAAUGGCCGCCUGUGAGUUCACUCACAGAAGGCCCAAGCCCGCGAGCGCCCGGAUCCACGGCAGCAGCCGAGGUGUCCGGGGUCAGCAGAUUCCGGUGCGAUUCCGGAGCCGACGGUGACAGUCCGGAUACGAGAGGACACCC
rnacentral:ncRNA from 2 species